ACGUCUUUUAUGGGACGGGACCGCUGUUGAACAAGAUUGGGUGGAGGAGAGGUUUGGUCUUUCGACCUUCUCCGGUUCUCUCUUCUCUCUCGUCGGCAACGAGACUUGGUGAGACGGCAUGAUCACUCCCUCCGAUGUUCCGUCUCGAUGGAGAAAGAAGUCCCCGAAUGGUUUUCGUUGUCGCUUGCGUCUCUUCUCGUGUUCGAUGGGAAGACUAAAGGAGUCAAGUCCCGUGAUUCUCCUCCUCCUACUCUUUCCUCUUCUUCUUCAUCAAUCACUUACGAAGGUGUUAGGAGAAUCUGAAUCCACUAGUACUUGACGCCGUUUGUGGAACGGGAGAGAUACCAGAUUCCAGACAAGUGUAGGCUCCAUCCUGAUAACGAUCUGUACAGAGAUCAAGAACAGCAUAAAGUCCACGUGGAUGUAUACGAGUGGAAGUGUGGUUAUUGCAGGAAGAGUUUCAAUGAGGACAAGUUUCUUGACCAGCACUUCGCCACUAGACAUUUUAAUCUCUUGAAUACGACUGGUACAAAGUGUUUAGCGGAUCUGUGUGGUGCAUUGCAUUGCGAUUUUGUGUUGAGUUCCAAGAAGGCUAAGAGCAAGUGUAACCCUGCAGCUGCUGCCAAAAACCGGGUCAUAUCUGCGAGAGUCUUGCUAAUACAUGCUUCCCAGUGAGUCAAGGUCCUGCAGCUAGUCGUCUUCAUGAACACUUCUUACGACAAUUCUGUGAUGCUCAUACCUGUACUGGAAAAAAACAAACCGUUUCCUAGAGGAGGCAAGAAGAAAUCGGGUGUCUUCUACCUCGCUGUAUCAAUACUGACCUUGAUGCUACUCCCACUCUUUUAUCUGCUGGUCUUCUUACACCAAAGGUGCCCUAGAAUGUUCUCUGGGUUUCUCUGGUUUGUUAGUAAGAAAGUUAUUUCUUCUGAGUUUUAGACAUGAACUAUCGAAAUAAGAAGUGGUGAUUUUAUUUAACUCUGAAUCAGGUGAAUGAGCUGCUGAGACAUUCAUCCAUGCCAUUAGUUUUUUUUUCCUUCGCAAGUUCAACUUCUAAAGGUUU